rnacentral:rRNA from 1 species
CCUGGCUCAGGAUGAACGCUGGCGGCGUGCUUAACACAUGCAAGUCGAACGAAGCUGUUAAAAGGAAGUCUUCGGAUGGAAUUUUAACAGACUUAGUGGCGGACGGGUGAGUAACGCGUGGAUAACCUGCCUUAUACAGGGGGAUAACGGAGAGAAAUUUCCGCUAAGACCGCAUAAGACCACAGCACCGCAUGGUGCAGGGGUAAAAUAUUAAUAGGUAUAAGAUGGAUCCGCGUCCGAUUAGCUGGUUGGUGAGGUAGAGGCUCACCAAGGCGACGAUCGGUAGCCGGCCUGAGAGGGUGAACGGCCACAUUGGGACUGAGACACGGCCCAAACUCCUACGG